rnacentral:rRNA from 1 species
UACGUAGGGCGCAAGCGUUGUCCGGAAUUAUUGGGCGUAAAGAGCGCGUAGGCGGUCCGGUAAGUCGGUUGUGAAAGUCGGGGGCUCAACCCUCGGAUGCCGAUCGAUACUGUCGGGCUAGAGUCCGGAAGAGGCGAGUGGAAUUCCUGGUGUAGCGGUGAAAUGCGCAGAUAUCAGGAGGAAUACCGAUGGCGAAGGCAGGUCUCUGGGCUAUAACUGACGCUCAUGCACGAAAGCGUGGGGAGCAAACAGG